UACGUAGGGUGCAAGCGUUGUCCGGAAUCAUUGGGCGUAAAGCGCGUGUAGGCGGCCAGAAAAGUCCGCUGUGAAAACUCGAGGCUCAACCUCGAGCUGUCGGUGGAAACUUUCUGGCUAGAGUCCGGAAGAGGAGAAUGGAAUUCCUGGUGUAGCGGUGAAAUGCGCAGAUAUCAGGAGGAACACCAAUUGCGAAGGCAGCUCGCUGGGACGUUACUGACGCUGAGACGCGAAAGCGUGGGGAGCAAACAGG
rnacentral:rRNA from 1 species